rnacentral:rRNA from 1 species
GAUUGAACGCUGGCGGCAUGCCUUACACAUGCAAGUCGAACGGCAGCACGGACUUCGGUCUGGUGGCGAGUGGCGAACGGGUGAGUAAUGCAUCGGAACGUACCCGGUAGUGGGGGAUAACUACCCGAAAGGGUGGCUAAUACCGCAUAUACUGUGCGCAGGAAAGCAGGGGACCUUCGGGCCUUGUGCUACCGGAGCGGCCGAUGUCAGAUUAGGUAGUUGGUGGGGUAACGGCCUACCAAGCCUGCGAUCUGUAGCGGGUCUGAGAGGAUGAUCCGCCACACUGGGACUGAGACACGGCCCAGACUCCUACGGGAGGCAGCAGUGGGGAAUUUUGGACAAUGGGCGCAAGCCUGAUCCAGCCAUGCCGCGUGAGUGAAGAAGGCCUUCGGGUUGUAAAGCUCUUUCGGACGGAAAGAAAUCGCGCAGGCUAAUACCCUGCGCGGAUGACGGUACCGUCAUAAGAAGCACCGGCUAACUACGUGCCAGCAGCCGCGGUAAUACGUAGGGUGCGAGCGUUAAUCGGAAUUACUGGGCGUAAAGCGUGCGCAGGCGGUUGAUUAAGACAGGCGUGAAAUCCCCGGGCUUAACCUGGGAACUGCGCUUGUGACUGGUCAGCUAGAGUACGGCAGAGGGGGGUGGAAUUCCACGUGUAGCAGUGAAAUGCGUAGAGAUGUGGAGGAACACCGAUGGCGAAGGCAGCCCCCUGGGCCGAUACUGACGCUCAUGCACGAAAGCGUGGGUAGCAAACAGGAUUAGAUACCCUGGUAGUCCACGCCCUAAACGAUGUCAACUAGUUGUUGGGAGGGUAAAACCUUUUAGUAACGUAGCUAACGCGUGAAGUUGACCGCCUGGGGAGUACGGCCGCAAGGCUAAAACUCAAAGGAAUUGACGGGGACCCGCACAAGCGGUGGAUGAUGUGGAUUAAUUCGAUGCAACGCGAAAAACCUUACCUACCCUUGACAUGUCUGGAACCUUNNUGAGAGGCGAGGGUGCCUUCGGGAGCCAGAACACAGGUGCUGCAUGGNNNNNGUCAGCUCGUGUCGUGAGAUGUUGGGUUAAGUCCCGCAACGAGCGCAACCCUUGUCACUAGNNNCCAUCAUUUGGUUGGGCACUCUAGUGGGACUGCCGGUNACAAACCGGAGGAAGGUGGGGAUGACGUCAAGUCCUCAUGGCCCUUAUGGGUAGGGCUUCACACGUCAUACAAUGGUCGGUACAGAGGGUUGCCAAACCGCGAGGUGGAGCCAAUCCCUUAAAGCCGAUCGUAGUCCGGAUCGUAGNCUGCAACUCGACUACGUGAAGNNGGAAUCGCUAGUAAUCGCAGAUCAGCAUGCUGCGGUGAAUACGUUCCCGGGUCU